rnacentral:tRNA from 1 species
GGUGGGGUACUCAAGUGGCCAACGAGGGCAGACUGUAAAUCUGCUGGCUAACGCCUUCGAGGGUUCGAAUCCUUCCCCCACCACCA